ACUCAAAGGAAUUGACGGGGACCCGCACAAGUGGUGGAGCGUGUUCUUUAAUUCGAUGAUAAGCGAAGAACCUUACCAGGGCUUGACAUCCUUGGAAUCUCUGCGAAAGCAGAGAGUGCCUUUUGGAACCAAGUGACAGGUGUUGCAUGGCCGUCGUCAGCUCGUGUCGUGAGAUGUUUGGUUAAGUCCAUUAACGAGCGCAACCCUUAUGAUUAGUUGGAUUUUUCUAAUCAGACUGCCUCGGUAACGGGGAGGAAGGAGGGGAUGAUGUCAGGUCAUUAUUACCCUUACGUCCUGGGCUAGAAACGCGCUACAAUGGCCGGUACAGAGGGCUGCCAACCCGCGAGGGGGAGCAAAUCCCAUCAAAACCGGUCCCAGUUCGGAUUGCAGGCUGAAACUCGCCUGCAUGAAGCCGGAAUCACUAGUAAUCGUGGGUCAGCACACCACGGUGAAUACGUUCCCGGGUCUUGUACACACCGCCCGU
rnacentral:rRNA from 1 species